GAAACCGGAGCUAAUACCGGAUAAUAUUUUGAACCGCAUGAUUCAAAGUAAAAGACGGUCUUGCUGUCACUUAUAGAUGGAUCCGCGCUGCAUUAGCUAGUUGGUAAGGUAACGGCUUACCAAGGCAACGAUGCAUAGCCGACCUGAGAGGGUGAUCGGCCACACUGGAACUGAGACACGGUCCAG
rnacentral:rRNA from 1 species